UGGGUGUUAUGAUGUUGGGAAAUAUAAAUUAACCGAGUCUAGUCCAAAGUAGCAGAUAUUUGAUAUCUUGUGA
rnacentral:ncRNA from 1 species